CUAUGAAAAUAAGCGAUAUUUUAGGGGAAAAACAGGGAUUUCUAUGAAAAUAAGCGAUAUUUUAGGGGAAAAACAGGGAUUUCUAUGAAAAUAAGCGAUAUUUAAGGUUAAAAACAGGGAUUUCCAUGAAAAUAAGCGAUAUUUUAGGGGAAAAACAGGGAUUUCUAUGAAAAUAAGCGAUAUUUAAGGUUAAAAACAGGGAUUUCUAUGAAAAUAAGCGAUAUUUUAGGUUAAAAACAGGGAUUUCUAUGAAAAUAAGCGAUAUUUUAGGUUAAAAACAGGGAUUUCUAUGAAAAUAAGCGAUAUUUAAGGUUAAAAACAGGGAUUUCUAUGAAAAUAAGCGAUAUUUUAGGUUAAAAACAGGGAUUUCUAUGAAAAUAAGCGAUAUUUUAGGUUAAAAACAGGGAUUUCUAUGAAAAUAAGCGAUAUUUAAGGUUAAAAACAGGGAUUUCUAUGAAAAUAAGCGAUAUUUUAGGUUAAAAACAGGGAUUUCUAUGAAAAUAAGCGAUAUUUAAGGUUAAAAACAGGGAUUUCUAUGAAAAUAAGCGAUAUUUUAGGGGAAAAACAGGGAUUUCUAUGAAAAUAAGCGAUAUUUGAGGUUAAAAACAGGGAUUUCUAUGAAAAUAAGCGAUAUUUUAGGGGAAAAACAGGGAUUUCUAUGAAAAUAAGCGAUAUUUAAGGUUAAAAACAGGGAUUUCUAUGAAAAUAAGCGAUAUUUAAGGGGAAAAACAGGGAUUUCCAUGAAAAUAAGCGAUAUUUAAGGGGAAAAACAGGGAUUUCUAUGAAAAUAAGCGAUAUUUUAGGGGAAAAACAGGGAUUUCUAUGAAAAUAAGCGAUAUUUAAGGUGAAAAACAGGGAUUUCUAUGAAAAUAAGCGAUAUUUCAGGGGAAAAACAGGGAUUUCUAUGAAAAUAAGCGAUAUUUAAGGGGAAAAACAGGGAUUUCUAUGAAAAUAAGCGAUAUUUCAGGUUAAAAACAGGGAUUUCUAUGAAAAUAAGCGAUAGUUAAGGUUAAAAACAGGGAUUUCUAUGAAAAUAAGCGAUAUUUCAGGUUAAAAACAGGGAUUUCUAUGAAAAUAAGCGAUAGUUAAGGUUAAAAACAGGGAUUUCUAUGAAAAUAAGCGAUAUUUCAGGUUAAAAACAGGGAUUUCUAUGAAAAUAAGCGAUAUUUUAGGGGAAAAACAGGGAUUUCUAUGAAAAUAAGCGAUAUUUAAGGGGAAAAACAGGGAUUUCGAUGAAAAUAAGCGAUAUUUUAGGGGAAAAACAGGGAUUUCCAUGAAAAUAAGCGAUAUUUUAGGGGAAAAACAGGGAUUUCUAUGAAAAUAAGCGAUAUUUUUGGGG